GAUGAACGCUGGCGGCGUGCCUAAUACAUGCAAGUCGAGCGAAUGGAUUAAGAGCUUGCUCUUAUGAAGUUAGCGGCGGACGGGUGAGUAACACGUGGGUAACCUGCCCAUAAGACUGGGAUAACUCCGGGAAACCGGGGCUAAUACCGGAUAACAUUUUGAACCGCAUGGUUCGAAAUUGAAAGGCGGCUUCGGCUGUCACUUAUGGAUGGACCCGCGUCGCAUUAGCUAGUUGGUGAGGUAACGGCUCACCAAGGCAACGAUGCGUAGCCGGCCUGAGGGGUUGAUCGGCCACACUGGGACUGGGACACGGCCCAGACUCCUACGGGAGGCAGCAGUAGGGAAUCUUCCGCAAUGGACGAAAGUCUGACGGAGCAACGCCGCGUGAGUGAUGAAGGCUUUCGGGUCGUAAAACUCUGUUGUUAGGGAAGAACAAGUGCUGGUUGAAUAAGCUGGCACCUUGACGGUACCUAACCAGAAAGCCACGGCUAACUGCGUGCCAGCCGCCGCCAUAA
rnacentral:rRNA from 1 species